rnacentral:rRNA from 1 species
UCAGGUGACUAUAGCAUCAGGGUUCCACCUCUUCCCAUUCCGAACAGAGAAGUUAAGCCUGAUCACGCCGAUGGUACUGC